AUCCCUGGUCUCGCUCAGGGAGUUAAGGAUCCCGUGACUAGGUCAAAGGUGCAGCUCAGAUAUGGUGUUGCCAUGGCUGUGGCAUAGGCCUGCAGCUGCAGCUCCAAUCCAACCACUGGCCUGGGAACUUCCGUAUGCCACAGGUGUGGCCAUAAAAAAGUAAUAAUAAUAAUAAAAUAAAUAAAUACAUAGUUUAAGAAUCUUAAAUAUAUGCUUUCAUUUUUUUUCUCCCAGCCUUUUUGCUUUGGUUCUCAUACGUUUUUACUGCUACAUAUUUUGUAAACUCACAAUACAUUGUUUUGUUUCAUUUCUUUCUUUCUUUGUUUUUAUGGCCACACCCACAGCAUACAGAAGUUCCUGGGCCAGGGAUUGAAUCCCAGCCACGGCUGUGACCUAUGCCAUGGCUGCAGCAAUGUCAGAUCAUUUAACCCACUGUAUCAGGCCAGGGGUCAAACCCGAACCUCGGACAGUGACCUGAGCUGCUACAGUCAGAUUCUUAAUCCACUGUGUCACAGCAGGAGCUCCUACAGUGUUUUAUUUUGUUUUAAACUAAAGACGGGAUUAAGAUGGCAGAGUAGAAGGACUAGAGCUCACCUUCUCUCAUAAAAGCAACAAAAUUAUAGCCAACUGAUGAACUACCUCCAAACAAACAGACUGCAAACUAUCAAAAAAGAUAUCCUGCUCCAGAAGACAAAGAGGAGGCCACAUCAAGACACUAGGAGGGGCGAUUAUGCCAUAUAAGCAACCCCAUACCCGCUGGGUGGGCAGCCCACAGAAUGGAAAGUAACUGUAUCACAGAGACUCACCUAUGGGAGUGAGAGUUCUGAGCCCCACGUCAGGUCCUCAUGCCCAGGGAUCUGGUAUUGGAAGAAGGAGUCCCCGGGGCACCUGGCAUUGAAGGCCAGUGGGGCUUGUGCACAGGAGCUCCACAGGACUGGGGGAAACGGAUACCCCAUUCUUGAAAGGUGCACACAGGCUCUUAUGUGCACUGGGUCCCAGGGCAAAGCAGAGGCUCCAUAGGGAUUUGGAUCAGACCUGACUGCAGUUCUUGGAGGAUCUCCUGGGAAAACAGGGUGACUGUGGCUUGUCGUGGGGGAAGGACAUUGGAGUCAAAGGUCUCGGGAAAAAUCGUCAGAGUGUAUUCCUCUAGAGGUGGCCAUUUUGGGGAAAGCUGGCCCCACCCAUCAGUGCUGAGAAGCCCCAGGCCAAACAAUAAUCCAGGUGGGAUCAGAGCCCCACCUGUCAGCAGACAGGCUGCUAAAGACCCCCCCACAUACAGCCAGCUUCACAUCUCACCCACACAAAGCCCCCACCCACCAGAGGAAUAGGAAUAAGCUCCACCUACCAGUGGGCAGGCACCAGUCCCUCCCAUCAGGAAGCCUGCAGCAAGCCCCCUUACCAACUUCAGCCACAAGGACAGACACCACAAAUAAGAGAGGCUACAACUCUAUUGUCUGUAAAAAGGAGAC
rnacentral:lncRNA from 1 species